CCUGCAGUUCUGGAGGUGUCGAUUGCCCUGGCUGUGUUUCCUAGAUGAUGAAAUUAUUGCAAGCAUUUGAGUUGAGAAGUGCAAAGCGGAUCCGCGAUCAAUUAUUAGAUAAUAAAAGAAUAUCAAGCAGUUAGUAUAAUGCAUAGUUCUACAGUGGAAAGCGACAAUGUGCCUAAAGAAGAGGAAGUGGAAAUUAUGACAGAAAAUCUACGUUAUAGAAAUAAUGACAGGGAAUGCGGCCUAAAAAGAAG